CUGCUUCAGAUGCCGCCUCUUGCUCCCCCUCCCUAUCGCGCCGCUUCGAUACCUCCUCUACUUCUUCGAUCCCAUCUACACCCCAUCGCUUCGAUCCUGCUCCCGUCUCUUCGAUUCCAUCUACAAUCCCAUCUAUUGCCUCUCAUGCCUCUUCGAUCCCAUCCCCAUCCCUUCGAUCUCGGCCCCGUCCCUUCGAUCCCUUCUGUUGCCGAUCUGGAUUGCUUCUGUUGCCGCCUCGAUUUUGUGACCAUAUUACUUAAGAACGGUUUCUUUCAUGCCGUUUGCAUUAACUGUCGGAAUCUAUAUAAUAAGGCGUGGAUGGUUUCUUUCUAUGCUGCUGAAAUUAUUUUCUCCUGUAAGCGAAAAUUUAGCGGCUCUUAAUCUAACAAUUACACUGGUGGAUCUGAAUCAUUUGGUUUUCUCGAUUCCAAUGUUAACAUGCUUUUCUUACAUUUUGCGACCUUACGAAUUUGAAACUGGUUUAUGAAUUGGGAGUAGACUCACUAUGCACAUCUCUGAAUUUCUCCUCAAGAUCACACAAUCGAAACUUUGAACUACACAAUUCAGGAUGGCAAAUCAUUUAUAUGAUCCUUUUUCUAUAUAGGUUUGGCUAAACCCUAUAUAUAUGUUGUCAACAUUCUAUCCUAUUUUUGUGUUUGUUGUGAUUCUAUAUUUGCAUUGAUUAAUUUUUUGGGCUUAAAUUUUUUAUUUUUUUGACUCUAAUGAAGUUUGAUCAUGAACUUGCGGAUCUUCUAUGGGAGCAUAGCCAUAUUACAUUGCCAAGAUAUUUUUGCUUCCUUCUUUACUGCUUUCUUCUUUCUAAAACAAGAAAAGCAUCCCAUUCACUUUUGGGGAUACACUAUUUACUGUUAUUGCAUAACUUCUUUCUAUUUAUAUUUAGAUCUUUGUAGUUAAAGACUUAAAAUAGUAUUAAUGAUAGAAUAUAUAUUAUUUUAUACUAUGAUUGAUUGUACUUAAAAUAUAUUUGAUAUGAUUUUGUGAUGUUUCCAAGGCAAAGUUGGUACAUACCUUUUAA